CACGUAGGGGGCAAGCGUUGUCCGGAUUUAUUGGGCGUAAAGAGCGUGUAGGCGGCUCGGUAAGUCCGCUGUAAAAGUCAAAGGCUCAACCUUUGAAUGUCAGUGGAUACUGCCGGGCUAGAGUCCGGAAGAGGCGAGUGGAACUCCUGGUGUAGCGGUGGAAUGCGCAGAUAUCAGGAAGAACACCAACGGCGAAGGCAGCUCGCUGGGACGGUACUGACGCUGAGACGCGAAAGCGUGGGGAGCGAACAGG
rnacentral:rRNA from 1 species